UAGACUAGAUCUACUUGAUCAACGAUUUACACUGAUGUAAAACCUACGUAAAUCAAAUCUACAAGAUCAGGAUUUACAUUUAGAUCUAGAUCUAGAAAUCUACAUUAUUGACUAGAGAGAAAAAGUUAAAAGUUCAUCCAAAAAAAAGGGAAGAUCUGAUUUUUACCAGUAAUAAGACUACAGCAUACUAAAUGACACAAGAUGUUCUUUCUCUAUUACCUCUUACAUUUGACAUAAAAGUAGGAAAAGGUUUAACAGUCUAUGCCUACAACAUAGAUCUCCAGGACUAAAAGUACACAAAAUGGCAAUCAGUAUAUCACAAGUGUAAUAACACAUGCAUCUAAUCUGCUUCAGUGGCGAGAACUGGGUGAAUCCUCUCAAACAUUAAUCAGGAACUAGGCAUACCUAAUGAGCGUCAAGCUGAUACAGUAGAUGUACAGAAGAGUUUAUACACAAGGAAGUGAAAAGUGAUGUAAAAGGCAACUAAUACUUCCAUCUACCAUAGUUAAACAAGAAUCUGCAAAUGGUGAUAAUUGCAAUAAUCAUGAUAUAUUAAUGUUUGGCUUUAUAAUUAUAUGCAAUUGUCAGGUUUGAUAAAUAAAUUA